AGCUUGCUUGGUGGAUCAGUGGCGAACGGGUGAGUAACACGUGAGCAACCUGCCCUGGACUCUGGGAUAAGCGCUGGAAACGGCGUCUAAUACUGGAUAUGAGACGUGAUCGCAUGGUCGUGUUUGGAAAGAUUUUUCGGUCUGGGAUGGGCUCGCGGCCUAUCAGCUUGUUGGUGAGGUAAUGGCUCACCAAGGCGUCGACGGGUAGCCGGCCUGAGAGGGUGACCGGCCACACUGGGACUGAGACACGGCCCAGACUCCUACGGGAGGCAGCAGUGGGGAAUAUUGCACAAUGGGCGGAAGCCUGAUGCAGCAACGCCGCGUGAGGGAUGACGGCCUUCGGGUUGUAAACCUCUUUUAGCAGGGAAGAAGCGAAAGUGACGGUACCUGCAGAAAAAGCGCCGGCUAACUACGUGCCAGCAGCCGCGGUAAUACGUAGGGCGCAAGCGUUAUCCGGAAUUAUUGGGCGUAAAGAGCUCGUAGGCGGUUUGUCGCGUCUGCUGUGAAAUCCCGAGGCUCAACCUCGGGCCUGCAGUGGGUACGGGCAGACUAGAGUGCGGUAGGGGAGAUUGGAAUUCCUGGUGUAGCGGUGGAAUGCGCAGAUAUCAGGAGGAACACCGAUGGCGAAGGCAGAUCUCUGGGCCGUAACUGACGCUGAGGAGCGAAAGGGUGGGGAGCAAACAGGCUUAGAUACCCUGGUAGUCCACCCCGUAAACGUUGGGAACUAGUUGUGGGGACCAUUCCACGGUUUCCGUGACGCAGCUAACGCAUUAAGUUCCCCGCCUGGGGAGUACGGCCGCAAGGCUAAAACUCAAAGGAAUUGACGGGGACCCGCACAAGCGGCGGAGCAUGCGGAUUAAUUCGAUGCAACGCGAAGAACCUUACCAAGGCUUGACAUAUACGAGAACGGGCCAGAAAUGGUCAACUCUUUGGACACUCGUAAACAGGUGGUGCAUGGUUGUCGUCAGCUCGUGUCGUGAGAUGUUGGGUUAAGUCCCGCAACGAGCGCAACCCUCGUUCUAUGUUGCCAGCACGUAAUGGUGGGAACUCAUGGGAUACUGCCGGGGUCAACUCGGAGGAAGGUGGGGAUGACGUCAAAUCAUCAUGCCCCUUAUGUCUUGGGCUUCACGCAUGCUACAAUGGCCGGUACAAAGGGCUGCAAUACCGUAAGGUGGAGCGAAUCCCAAAAAGCCGGUCCCAGUUCGGAUUGAGGUCUGCAACUCGACCUCAUGAAGUCGGAGUCGCUAGUAAUCGCAGAUCAGCAACGCUGCGGUGAAUACGUUCCCGGGUCUUGUACACACCGCCCGUCAAGUCAUGAAAGUCGGUAACACCUGAAGCCG
rnacentral:rRNA from 1 species